GCGACGGGGCCGGCGCCUUCUCCGAGCUCCUCCCACGCUCGCGGGUCGGAGCUCGCGCCUGCGCAGUUCGGGCCCCGGGUGUCCUCCCCCCUCCCCUUUCUUAGCAACCAUCGCCCGCUCCCGCCCCCGCUCCCUCGGCCGCGGCCGCGCACGCGCGCCCCUCCCGGCGCCCGGCCCCGCCCACCCCGUCACCCGUAACAACCACAAGUGCCGUCGCCGCGCCCCUUCCCCCUCCCGCCUCCCCGGCCCCCUCCCCGGAACCGGCGGUCGAGCUACGGUCGCGGAGCAGUGGAACCGAGACUGCCCCGCGGAGCCGCCGGUAUGAGCGCCCCUCGCCACCCCGUGUCCCAGGCCCGGCCUUUCUGACAAGAGCUAGACUUCGGGCUCCUUGAGGAUAUUCAGUUUUGUAUGUUUGAAUAUCCUCUCACCAUGUUCAGCAUAAAGUACCAUUCUUAAUGAUUAUCCUCAACAAGACAGGUGUGAGAGGGUUGCUGUUGUAUUGCAAUCAUGGUGCAGAAAUACCAGUCCCCAGUGAGGGUGUACAAAUACCCCUUUGAAUUAAUUAUGGCUGGAUGUGUACCUGAAACAUUUUAUGAAAGAGAAAUCAAAACUUCUUGGCCACACACAAACGAAAGCCUCACACCUGACAAGGAAGGCGCACCAGGGAACCUUCUGGGGGGAUGGUUGCAGAUGUCCUGUGUUUUGACAAAGGCCUAUGAAAGGAGGUUCCCUACAUGUCCUUUGAUUCCGAUGUUCGUGGGCAGUGACACUGUGAAUGAAUUCAAGAGCGAAGAUGGGGCUAUUCAUGUCAUUGAAAGGCGCUGCAAGC
rnacentral:lncRNA from 10 species